UAAUCUUCUUGGCCUUUUGGCUAAGACUAAGUGUAAGAUGUGUUCUUAUCAAUUUAAAGUCUGAUACAUCCCCUAUAGGAGGACAAUAUAUUAACCACCACUCAUC
rnacentral:snRNA from 1 species